GAAGAUUGAAGGAAUAGAAGAAAUAGUGUAAGAAGGGGACAAGGAAUGCGCUGUGGCAGAGACAAUUUUUACUGGCUUGGAAAAUCUGAAUUUUCUUUGUUAGUAUUUAUGUUAGAAAAUUGUUCAUGGUAAGCAGUUGAUUGGAAGUCCGAAUUGAGCUCUUACAGAUUAUUGAACUCUAAUAAUCUGUUAGUACAAUGCCAAGCACUCCAAUACUCCAAAUACUUGUAUACUUUAAUGUCGAAGUAUGCAGGACAGCCUCUAGAGCUUUGAAUCUUAGUUAUAUACAAUGGGAAUUAAGGUUUUUAAUUUUGAAGGUUAAUUUUGAUCGGUGGUAAAGCGCAUUGUGAAUAGUCAAAUACAACCUCGUUUGUAUAUUAACUUUACUGUAUAUCUUUAUUUUCUUAUGAUUUUUUCUUAUCUGGAUGCCAAAAUACUUGGAUUUGGCUUUUAUAUGGAACAGUUGAUACAUCGAUUUAUACUAGAUUGAGAAAUCUGGCGAACUCAUGGAAUUGCUUAAGCUUAUAGGGCAUUUCUUAAUUAGACAUUAUGUUGAAUACAAGUUGUUUUCAUAAGGUAGAUAGAGUUCUAAUGCAAAGCUUCUAUAGCAACAGUGGUUUUACAUGGGCACUUUACGUGAUGUGUAAAAUUGCAACUAAAAAUGUAAUAUUUGAAGAAACUAAGCAAUAAAAAGGCAGACUUAUUCCUCCUCCAGCCUCCUGUUUUCUGCGCAUUCUACCUUUUGCAUGUCGCUUAUUUUUCAUUGGUCAUAUCAAACGUACUGUAAUGUUUUGGGAUCAAAAGAGAAAUCGUACUAGGAUAUAUCUGGCAUACAGCGUAUUUGUAUUAGUAGUUAGUUUAUGUUAGUCCUUAGUUAUGUUCAUUCCCUCUAUUUGCUAUAUGGUAUUUCCACUUUUGUGAUCUAUUAUGCAUGCUAUUCAGGGCCUUUGUUAUUUUGUUUGGAUGUGCAGUGAGAUUACUCCUGAAGGAAGACGUAUAACCAAGCUUGAUCAGAUUUUACUCAAUGGAAACAAUAUUGCCAUUGUAAGUUAAACAUGGGUGUUCUUUAUUUGCCUGGAUGAAAUAAUUGAAUUUCCGGUGAAUAUGCAAGUGAUUGUUAGGUUUUCUUUGUCAAGUAUAGUACUACACUUUUUGUAGCCUUUUUCUUUUCUCGCCUUAUAUUUGACAACCUACUCUUGUAACUAUUUCUGCAAGCUCAUGGUUUCUACUUGGCCUUUUCAAUAGAAGCUAGAGCCAGCAUAAAACAUAGAUGAAAGAUUUCAAACUGUUGUUAUAAAUUGUCUAAUGGUUUGUGCACAACGUCAAUGCAGCUGGUCCCUGGCGGCUCACCUGAAGCGGAAUGAGAGGGAACUCCGCACUCCGUUAUUGAAUGUUUGCAUUACCUAUGGUUCAGGGGAGAUCGUUUAUCUUUUUCAUCGAGAACUGGGCCCCCCUGGAUGCCCUUUAUUUGCUCCACCCAGCACUCGUUGUUCUUCGUAGGUGACAUGGUUGUAGGAUAGUUAAGGAUAUGGUGGAUUAUGUUUCUUCUAGUCUGGAGUGGUAUUGAUUUUCCGAAUACAUUGACACAAGCCGGGCUUUAUUCUGUAUUGUUCACAUAUGUAAUGGGACUCCAGUAACAUUCUGCAAUUGAUGCAACAAUUCCAUUGCAUUGUUUCCUCAAUUGCCUUUUUCCUCUGAUUCAUAUAUACAGUUAGAAAGAUAGAUUUCAACGAUCAUUUUGGCCCCAGAAGAAAACAGGUCAGUGUGAUACUACACAGCGCACACACCAAUCCCACCUUUUCAGCCUUCUGUUUCUCUGCCUUUGUUUCCCAAUUGCGCAGUUUUUUCAUUGGGUUGGAGGUAGCAAAAACUCAGCCGAUUUUUAGAUAGCCAAAAUUGGUGCUUACUCAGUCAGUGUAUUGCUUUCUUGUGUAGAUAUCCAAAUGUGAUGCUCUCUCAAGGUCCCCACCCCUUUCCCUUUUUUUCCACUUCUCUUGACAGUGCUGCUCGGUCAAUCCAAAUACCACAUUUGUACACUUUUGCAUACAAGAGACGUCUGUUCAGAUAGUGCUUUAACUUCACGCUGUCAGUCUGUUUAUUAUCCAUUAAAAUAAGUCAAAUUGAAUCGAAACCAAACCGAAAAAACUGAACAGAAAAUAGAUUUAUACCAUAGGAUAAAUUAUUGGGCCCUCUUUGUAAUUUCAAGUUUAUUUGGUUGUUAAAAAGCGAAAAUAAAUUGUCAAAAUUCAUGAAUAUUGCUACGAAGCCCGCAGUAAUUACAAGUAGAAAAUAGGUCAAUCCAUUCUUUUAAAGUGAAUAAACUCAUAAAAUUAGAGACGGAUUGUUACACCAUAUUAAUAAUAAUAAAUUAUUAAAAAAAGCAGAAAACCAAAAGAUUUCAAACAAGAAUUAAAUAUUCAUCACCAUACAACAUUCUUCUUUAAGUAUUAAUUCCCAAAUAAAUUACACCAAGGAAGUAAAGAAUGAUAUGCAAAUGACAUUUAAACCCCUAAUGCACGCAAUAGCUAGAUGUAAAACACCAACGGCACCUAAAAUGGCGUCUACAUAAGUACAAGCCAUGGUAGGGUUUGGGUAAACGUUAACUGAUGCUGAUCAUCUUCUUGUUCUUGGUGUUUGGCGCUUUAGCCUUGUCGGUUGUGAAAACCGAAGAGAAAAAUUGGACGACAUCAUCAAGAAUCAUUCGCUUCACUGACCUCCUCUUUGCUGGAAUUACGCUCGCUGUCACACCUGCUUGCGGUUGGAAACAAUAAGGUUGCUCAUCAGGCUUCUUGUCUAUUUUCUGAGAUGUGUUCAAUUUCAUCAGCAUCCCUUUUGGCUUUGCUUCUAAACUUGCCUUCGCUGACAUCUCUCUCUGUCUCAGUGUGUGCUCAUUGUGUGCUUGUGAACCGUACUUUUAUGAGCUUAAAUAAAGCAGCAAAGAAGGCAAGAUGAAGAGAGACGUAGGCUCUUUUACAUUUUGGUCGUGUAUGUCAACGUCGGUACGCGAACGUAUAAAUUACGCGCUUUUAGUUUUAUGGCAUUAGAGGCCGCACCAAACCCCUGCCUGUGCCUGGUGCUAGCAACUCAUGUUUGUAUAUUUUUUAAGUGUAGUGCUAACGAUGUUGGAGAUUUUAGGUAAAAUUUCAUUGUCCUAUAUUGGUCAUAACAAAAAAAUUCUUACUUUAUAAGACUUUGUCCCUUACAAAAAGUGAUUGGAGCGAUGGACUAUGAAGAAUAAAAUUGGGCUCAACCUUGAAUUUAAGCAUUGGGAUGUAUUAAUUAAUUGAUAAUUAAUAUAUAAUUAAUAUCAAAGGAUGGGGAUGUUGAGUGCACUAGUUGGAAAAAUGUUUGCAUCUAGAGUGCGUCAUCUAGAGUGCGUCAUCUAUAGUGCGUCAUCUAUACGCACCGCCCUUUAGCGUCAUCUAUAAGCACCGCCCUUUACGUACAACAUUUGAUUUGUCUCCCGAGUUUAGUCUCUAUCAAAAUUUAAACGGAAGAUAAUAUGGCGUUAAUACUCGGAGUGUAACCCAAUGUCUCUAACUAGAAACAACUCUAAAAACGUAAUACUCGUUAGUUAAAUAAACAUGAUUAACUUAUUAUUUCUUUAAUGGUAUAACCCUAAUCUUCAAGUGUUUUUCUUUGUAGUAUUUUGUUUAUUCACAACAAGUGCACUACAAAAAAAAAAAAAAAAAAACCCUUUUCAAACGAAAGGUCAAAUAAAGUUUCUUCGCCUAAUGUUUUGUCUGACAGAUAUUCGUCGGGCAAAAGUCGUCGUUCAAACGUUUGCCUGACGUAAAAUAAAAUUUUGUUGGGUGAAUACUAUUUGCCCAAUGAAUUAUCGACGACUAUUUUGUUGCAUGAAGUGCCUUGACCAACUUGACUCGACGAACCUAACUUGUCCGAUUAUCGUAUUUUUGUCAUCUCUUGCAUGUACAGUCAAAAGUUAUCCUUCCGUUGGCGCAUUACUUCAUUCCGAGCUUUUUCUUGCUGGUUCGCAACAUCUUCUUGAUGGCGCAUGGCCUCUAACUCCAUCUCCAACUACUACAUUCUGGAAGACGACCACUUGCAGGCUAAGAGCUAGAUGAAGAAGAUCUCUCGAGGUCUCGAACUCGACUAGAUCUUAGGCCACGAAACUCUCGGCCUUCUGUUACCCACCCCUAUCUAUGAGCAACUAUAGAGACACAUCUGGAUCUAGUGUUAGCUGCUCCAUUGGCGUGUCCGGUUGCUGCUGAGAGAGGUUGGCGAAGUACUCAUCAUUAUUCUGCAAUAUAGAAGCCUAAAAAAAAAAAAAAAAAAAAACAAGAGAAACCAAUUAAGAUUAUUGAUCAUAAUUUUAUAAAAUUGAAGUGUAAUGAAAUUUAAGUAGAAUUUCAUUGUCCUACAUUGGUUACUACCAAAAAGUUCCCUCAUUUUAUAAGGCUUUGUCCCUUAUAGAAAGUGAUUAGAGUGAUGGACCAUGAAGAAUAAAAUUGGGCUCAUCCUUGAGUUUGAGUUUUGGGGUGUACUAAUCAAUUGAUAAUUAAUAUAUAAUUAAUUAUCAAAAGAUGGGCAUUGGGCUUUGGGGUUCGGACUCUAAUAAUUAAAUUCCUUAAUUAAUUAUUUUUAAUUAAUUUCAGAUUUAAUUAAUUAAUAUCUUUUACCAACAUACUCAUCUUUUUAGAUGAAGUCUGAAGUGUGGUGAAAGAACGCAGAGAGCAAACACCUUUCUAAGAAGAUGUCUCCCAACAGAUGCAUCCCUUCUUCAUGCCUGUUGCGAACAUGCAUAAUCCUAUUAUAUAUACAUUCAUCUGCAUGACAUUUAGAACACAGAAAAACAUAAUUCUCCUUCUACAAUCCAAAAAGCAUUCUUACUGAGAGAACCACAAAGAAAUUUGCUAGAAGUUAAGUUUUCGGUGCUAGAAUUAUGACUUGAUCGUUGAAUCUUGGUGAGCAGACGUCUGUAGAACUAUAAGCACUGAGUAGGGGUGGAAUAUCUGUUUCAAGGACAUUGCGGUACGCAAGCCUCGAUCAUCAAUUUAUCUGUUUAAUAUUAUUUUGUUGUUCAUACUCUAUUAGGUUAGUUGUUCGCAUUUAUUAUAUAUUAGCAUCUAUAAAUUUAUCAUUGAUUGUUGAUAUUUAUCCAACAAUCUUGAAACAAAUAAUGGAUCAACAAUCAUUGACUGUGAAUGACACUGUGAAAUCCCGUUCCUGGAUUUCACUAUUGUAAUCUACGUAUUUGUAUUAUUGAGAUUUUAUAUUAAUUUAUUUGAAUUGAGGUUUUAAUUAAAGUAGUAAUGAGGAAGUUUGAAGUUUGGAAAUUAAUUAUUUAAAUUUCGUAGACCUUUCGAGGGCAUAAAUUAUAUUUUUGAAUAAAGCUCGAUCUCACGAACGCGUAGGCGAAAACCGUUCGUGAAAUGGAUUUUUAACGAAGAAAUUAGAGAUGUUUUAGUUGUUGGGAAAUAAAUAAAUAAAUAAAUGUUUAAAAGCUGCCAAGUGGCAGCAAGGGAGAUGGGAGAAAAGAGAGAGUGCGGGAGAGAAAAGGGGGAGUAGCCCAAUCAGAUGGCAGAGCAAGGAGGGGAAAGGAGAGAGGAAGAAAGGGGGGAAAUGGGUUGACCCGCAUUCCCCAUCGAACCUGCUUGAUUUUCGGACCAUUUUUCGUCGAUUUUCCGGUGAUCCACACCUCAUCAUCACCUACAAACACCAUCCCGCUUCUUCUCCGUCAUUGAUCAUUAAAUAUUCGAUGGGAUUAGGCUCGUUUUGGGGUGUACGAUGGCGAAGGCACCGUGAGGUGCUUGGUGAUAAUCCGCCAAAUUUGUAUGAAAUUCUAUCGAUCUCAACCACCCUUAGACUCCCCAUGAGCCCUGGAACAAAGCUCAAUCAUCUAUAGGGGCGGCGGAACACCGAGGAAGGAGAAUCGAAGCUUACCAAUUCUAGGGUUUCCGGCGGGUUUGAGUGAAAUUGGUGCCUUUCCCGGCCAAAUUGGCCUUGGUCACAUGUAUGAAACUUGCUCUACUUAUUGAGAUCUUCAUUUCUGUAAAAUUUAGUAAUUUUUAAAAAUAGUUGAAUUUUCCGGUGAGUUGUGGCGGCCGGCCGCCGUGUGAGGCGGUGGACCGAUAAUGUCUUUUUAAGUCUAAUUAGAUGAGCUAAAUUCAUAAUUGAUAUCCGUAUAAAGUGAUUUGAUUGUUUGAACUUAGUUUCAUUACGAUACAUCACUUGAUCAAAAUUUGAAUCGACGAUCCGACCGUUGGAUCCUCACCAAAUUUUAAUGCAUUAUAGAACAUAAUAUUUGAAGAUAGUUGGAACUGAUGGAUCGGGAAUCCAACGUACGGAUCUUCCUAAAUUGGAUUUCUAAGUUAGAAAAAUUAAUUGUUAACUAUCACCUAAUUUUAGCAAUUGGUGGAGAUCCGGCCGUUGGAUCUCGAUGAGAAAUUAGUAUGUUGUUCUAUGAGAAUAAUGAGGACCCUAAGAAGUUAUGGAUCCAAAAUCCGAUGGGCGGAUCUUUUGGAUUGAAUUACGUGGAGUUGCGAAUCCUAUUGUUGACCGAAAGUUGACUUUUGGUCAACAUGUCCCGAAAUGUUUUGGAUGCUAAAAUUGGUACUACGGGAGACUAAGUGAAGUCUAGUGGACCCACAUUGGUUAAAGAGUGACUUAAGUAUAUGGGGUAGGGUUAUUACCUUAAAUUCUUAUAUUAGUAUCCGUUGUGAAUAUGAAUUGGUUUUAUAAGUGUGAUUUCUAUUGAAAUGUGAUUUUUAUAUAUUUAGCCAUAGACCUAUGUUUAUGAACAUGAUUUGGCUUGUGUACUAAUGAUGGUUGUGAUAUAUGUGUGUUUAAUUAUCUAUUUUUAGCAAUGUAAAUGAUAAGUACGAUAAAUGCUAUGCCUAUGUGAUCUUAGAAUCCUAUUAGAUGUAUUAUGUAGAAUUUAUAUGAUUGUGUGAUGUAUUAAUUGGUGGCCAUGAGAAAUUGAUGGUGUAGUGACUACGUUGUAACCCAUAGGGGUUGAGUUGUGGGUAGGUUGUGUGUUGAAUUUCCUGCACCAUGUAGCAGUGGUACAUGGAUAGCCUUGCUUGGUUAAUCCGCAUUGGGGAACCAUACCAUAUGUGGAUCGCGCUUGGUUAAUCCGCGUUGAGUGAUCUUUAUGGCCAUUUAUACUUAGGGGUGAUCAUGCUUGGUUAAUCCGCUUUGGGUGAUCACUGCCUAACAGUUCUGUAGGAGUGACUCUGCUUGGUUAAUCCACAUUGGGGACCUGAUUAUCUUGACCCUGCUUGGUUAAUCCGCAUUAGAGGGUCACUAGUGGUCCUGCUUGGUUAAUCCUCAUUGGGGGACCAUACCAUAUAUGGAUCGCGCUUGGUUAAUUCGCGUUGGGCGAUCCUUAUGGCCAUGUAUGCUUAGGAGUGAUCAUGAUUGCUAUAUCCGCGAUAGGUGAUCACUACCUAGAGCUAUAUGAUAUAGUCCUGCUUGGUAUAUCCGCGAUGGGGGACUGUUAGGGGUGAUCAUGCUUGGUAUAUCCGCAAUGGGUGAUCACUGCCUAUGGUAUUAGACUGCACAUAUGGUUCUGCUUGGUAUAUCCGCGAUGGGGAACCAUACGCAUGCUAGGUGGUAUCAGGAGUGAUCAUGCUUGGUAUAUCCGUGAUGGGUGGUCAUUACCUAGAGUUAGGAUGUGGUCCUGCUUGGUAUAUCCGCGAUGGGGGACCAUAUGUAUUCAGGGGUGAUCAUGCUUGGUAUAUCUGCGAUGGGUGAUCAUUGCCUGCACGAUGAGAUUAUGCCUAUGGUUCUGCUUGGUAUAUCCGCGAUAGGGGACCAUACACAUUCUAGAGGUGAUGAUGAUUAGUUGUACUUGAUACAUUUGAUAGGCGAUCAUAUUUAGUUUGGUUAUGUUGAGUGGUCCGGAACCCGAGGUUGUUGAAUUUCAUGGAUUAGUCUAAAAUUCCAUUAUUUGGAGAAGUAGGCUUGGCCGAACUGUGUCACUCCAGCCUUAGGUUUAUAUAUAUUUGUGUUAAUGGUUUCGAGAAUCUUGUGAAUUGAGUUAGAAAAGAUGUGGGAUGUUUGAGUGCUCUUUCGGGAUUUUCUACGAUUCAAUUAUGAUUUCAUAAGGUAUGAAUUUAGAAGAUAUGGGAAUAAUUGUUAUUACUUUGAUCAAAUUAAUUAAUUAAUGCGGCUAGAGAAUGAUUUUGUGUUUCGUCGGUUCUUAAAUACGAUGCAUGUUGUGAAUUGCGAUAUCAUGAUGAGACAUAAUGAUUUAUAUGUUGGAUAUGAGAGAAAUCAUGUUUUCAUGGGGGUUGGUUAUGUAGCCUAAGUCCAGGAAUUACAUGUUGUCAGGUUAUAAUAAAUGAUUGAGGAAUGCUAUGCUUUUCUGCUUGAACUUAGUGGAAUAAACGUCUGAUUUUGUGAUAAGUGAACUACGAAUUGUUUGAUCCCUAUUGAGGGUACGUAGACAGUCUAACGAGGAGGUUAGAUGCAACCAUAAAGUAAACGAAAAAUUACUUUGCAAUUUGAUUCUCGAGUUGUGAUUUGCCAUAUCAUGGAGAUGGGGUAUGUGAGAUAUACGAGUAUUUGGUGACGUCAUGUGUCGAUCCUGGACGUAUGUUGGGAUCGGGGCAUGACAGACACUGUGCCAAAAUAUUCUAAAAAGCUUGAGAAAUUCAAAGGGCUGGAUUUUAAAAGAUGGCAACAGAAGAUGCUGUUUUUCCUGACAACCAUGAAUCUCGCUCAUGUUGUCAAGGAAGAAGCUCCGAAGUCUAAUGAGAAUCCAAUGACUAAAGAGACUGUCAUGACAAUUGAAGCUUGGAAUCAUUCUGAGUUUUGUUGUAUGAACUAUAUUCUGAAUAGUUUGGACGACAAUCUCUACGACACUUAUUCUUUAUGCAAGACUGCAAAGGAGUUGUGGGAAUCCCUGGAGAAAAAGUAUAAGAUUGAUGAUGCAGGUUCAAAGAAAUUUGUUAUCGGUAAGUUUCUCAAAUAUACUAUGGUGGAUUCAAAAUAUGUUGUCUCUCAACUCGAAGAAAUCCAAAAAUUGAUCUAUGAAUUGCACUCUGAGGAAUGAGAGAUCAAUGCGCAUUUCCAAGUUGGGGCGAUAAUCGAGAAAUUGCCAACUUCCUGGAAUGACUUCAAAAUUUAUCUCAAGCAUAAGCGUCGUGAGAUGAAUAUGGAGGAUUUGAUUCUGAGGCUACGAGUAAAAGAAGACCACAUAAAGCCAGACCGCACUGGUGGGUUUGCUGCCAUUGAUACCAAUGCAAAUUAUGUUGAGGGAGGAAACUCCAAGGCCAAGCUUAAGAAGAAUAAGGCUCCGAAAACCAAGCAGUUUGUACAAUUUGUCUUUGCUCCUAAAGGCAAGAAUCUAAAGAAGAUUAAGGGUGCCUGCUAUGUGUGUGACAAAUUUGUUCACAAUGCACAAGAUUGUUAUCAUCGCAAUGAUGAAAAUAAUGCUAACGGAAACAACAAUAACCAUGCUAACAUGGCAAUCACCGAUGAAGAGUUGGCUGCUAUUGUGUCCGAGGUCAACAUGGUCUCGAAUGUGAGUGAAUGAUUGAUGGAUACGGGUGCUACUAAGCACAUAUGCGCUGACAGAAAUCUGUUUACUAAAUACCAUCGUUUGGUCCUGCAUCUGUUCAUCUUCCAACUCCACUCCAUUCCCUUUCAUUUCCCCCCUUAAUUUCUCUGGAUUAAUUGGCUGCAAUAAUAUUAAUAAAAAAAGAAAAGAAAAAUAAAUAAUUAAAAACAAAUACUAUUUGAGGAGCUAGGUCUACUCUCUCUCUCCCUUUGGAAAUCGAGGAGAGACAUUACGAGUCCAAUUUAUACAAGCAAACAUCUGAUAAUAUUUUCGGUUUUGUAAGAUGGUCAAGAACAUUGUGCUAUAGCACGACUCGUUCAUCCUUUGUUGGUUUAUGCUCACACAAACUGCCAAUCAACAACCUUGCCACAUGUAGGGUGGGACACGUGUCGCGCUGAAAUUCAACCAUUCUGGGAUCCCUCUCGCUGUUGUAUUAUUGGGAUACACUCAUGACCUUUUCCUUUUCUGUAGAGAAACUCCAAUACUCCAAAUACUCCAAAUACUUGUAUAUUUUAAUGUCGAAGUAUGCAGGACAGCCUCUAGAGCUUCGAAUCUUAGUUAUAUACAAUGGGAAUUAAGGUUUUUAAUUUUGAAGGUUAAUUUUGAUUGGUGGUAAAGCGCAUUGUGAAUAGUCGAAUACAACCUCGUUUGUAUAUUAUAAUUUUACUCUAUAUCUUUAUUUUCUUAUGAUUUUUUCUUAUCUGGAUGCCAAAAUACUUCGAUUUGGCUUUUAAAUGGAACAGUUGAUACAUCGAUUUAUACUAGAUUGAGAAAUCUGGCAAAGUCAUGGAAUUGCUUAAGCUUAGUUAUAGGGCAUUUCGUAAUUAGACAUUAUGUUGAAUACAAGUUGUUUUCAUAAGGUAGAUAGACUUCUAAUGCGAAUCUUCUAUGCAACAGUGGUUUUACAUGGACAUUUUACGUGAUGUAUAAAAUUGCAACUAAAAAUGUAAUAUUUGAAGAAACUAAGCAAUAAAAAGGCAGACUUAUUCCUCCUCCAGCCUCCUGUUUUCUGCGCAUUCUACCUUUCGCAUUUCGCUUAUUUUUCAUUGGUCAUAUCAAACGUACUGUAAUGUAUUGGGAUCAAAAGAGAAAUCGGACUAGGAUAUAUCUGGCAUACAUCGUAUUUGUAUUAGUAGUUAGUUUAUGUUAGUCAUUAGUUAUGUUCAUUCCCCCUAUUUGCUAUAUGGUUUUUCCACUUUUGUGAUCUGUUAUGCGUGCUAAUAUUCAGGGCCUUUGUUGUUUUGUUUGGAUGUGCAGUGAGAUUACUCCUGAAGGAAGACGUAUAACCAAGCUUGAUCAGAUUUUACUCAACGGAAACAAUAUUGCCAUUGUAAGUUAAACAUGGGUGGUCUUUAUUUGCCUGGAUGAAAUAAUUGAAUUUCCGGUGAAUAUGCAAGUGAUUGUUAGGUUUUCAUUGUCAAGUAUAGUACUACACUUUUUGUAGCCUUUUUCUUUUCUCGCCUUAUAUUUGACAACCUACUCUUGUAACUAUUUCUGCAAGCUCAUGGUUUCUACUUGGCCUUUUCAAUAGAAGCUAGAGCCAGCAUAAAACAUAGAUGAAAGAUGUUCAAACUAUUGUUAUAAAUUGUCUAAUGGUUUGUGCACAAUGCAGCUGGUCCCUGGCGGCUCACCUGAAGCGGAAUGAGAGGGAACUCCACACUCCGUUGUUGAAUGUUUGCAUUACCUAUGGUUCUGGGGAGAUCGUUGAUCUUUUUCAUCGAGAACUGGGCUCCCUUAGAUGCCCUUUAUUUUCUCCACCCAGCACUCGUUCUUCGUAGGUGACAUGGUUGUAGGAUGUGUUAAGAAUAUGGUGGAUUAUGUUUCUUCUAAUUUGGAGUGGUGUUGAUUUUUCGAAUACAUUGACGCAAGCCGGGUUUUAUUAUUUAUUUCUCACAUAUGUAAUGGGACUCCAGUAACAUUUUGCAAUUGAUGCAACAAUUCCAUUGCAUUGUUUCCUCAAAUGCCUUUUUCCUCUGAUACAUGUAUACAGUUAGAAAGAUAAAUUUCAACGAUCAUUUCGGCCCUAGAAGAAAACAGGUCAGUGUGAUACUACACUGCAUACACUCCAAUUCUUUUUGUGCCUAAAAAGCCUCUAGUACAGCUGCUAGUGCAAAAGUUUCAUGAUCCGAACAAGUGAAACCGUGACCAUGACCACUUUCACCACCACACUCAUCCCACCUUUUCAGCCUCCUGUUUCUCUGCCUUUGUUUCCCAAUAACGCACUUUUUGCAUUGGCUUCGAGGUAGCAAAAACUCUGCCAAUUUUUAGAUAGCCAAAAUUGGUGCUUAUGCGGUGUAUCUUUGGGUACCUACCUAUCAUGAGAUUUAUCGGCACUAUCUAAUAGUAAGAAGUAUAAAAAAAAGAAAUUAUUUGUGUAUAUGUUCGAACCAUAGUUGGUCAUAUUUCUCUUUGUCAAGAAAUUGAAGAAGCUAUCCAAGGGUUUUGCUGAGCCUACUCAUAUGGUAUCUAAACUAAGUAAUUCUACGACACCCGUGUCAUUUUGGGUUUCCCCAGUUCACCUAGGACUAUAGUUCUUGAAUUUCUAUGCGAAUCAAGAUCGAGAAAAGGAAAUUUUCCAAUUAUUGACUCAAACCCAUUGUCGAACCCCACUUAGCGGAAUAGGGAGGGAGGUACUUAUGACAGAACAGGCCAAUCUGGUCUUUCACAGUGAUAGAUGGAAUUGCUAUUAAACGACUUAUUAGUAGUCCCCACCCCUUCCCUUUUUGUUUUCCAAUUCUCUUUUGCUAUCAAUCCAAAAACUACAUUUGUUCACUUUUGCAUACAAGAGACGUCUGUUUAGAUAGUGCUUUAACUUCACGUUGUCAAUUUGUUUAUUAUCCACUAAAAUAAGUCGAACAGAAUUAAAACCAAACCAAAAAAACUGAACAGAAAAUAGAUUUAUACCAUAGGAUAAAUUAUUGGGUCCUCUUUGUAAUUGCAAGUUUAUACCAUAAGACAAAGUAUUGGGUCCUCUUUCUAAUUACAAGUUUUUUUUUUGUCAACGCAGCAUUUCAUUACAAAAUCAAGCAAUACAAAGCCCAAACAAACAACUAACUAG
rnacentral:lncRNA from 1 species